UGUAGAAUCGGAGCUCAUGGCCUGCUGUUUAAGACCCCUACUAUGCAGACCAUAACAAAACCAGUAAAGAAAUGCAAUGGAGGAAGAAAACAGCUCUAGAAACAAGCCAUUUAGGAUGUUUUUAUGUCGCGAUCCAUGGAUUAACUGGAAAAAUACAUCAAACUGCUGCUAGGUCAAGACACAGCCUUAACUAGGGAAGAAGAGUCAGCAGAACUUAUCAAGAGGGCAGGCAGAUGGUCAUCAAGUGCCUUCAUGACAUACAUUAGCUAGAGUAACACUAACCAUGGAUAUCAAAGAUGACUGUAUAUCUGAAAUGGACAGCAGAUGAAUAAAAUGGGAGACACAGUAGUUAGCAUUCUCACCUCACAGCAAGAAGUUCUCUGGUUCAA